rnacentral:misc_RNA from 1 species
UCCGGUUUAUCACCGGCAGUCCCCUAUGAGUCCCCGGCCGAACCGCUGGCAACUGGGAGCGAGGGUUGCGCUCGUUGCGGGACUUAACCCAACAUCUCACGACACGAGCUGACGACAGCCAUGCAGCACCUGUGCUGGUGCUCCGAAGAGGAACCGAUGUUUCCACCGGCUUUCACCAGCAUGUCAAGCCCAGGUAAGGUUCUUCGCGUUGCCUCGAAUUAAACCACAUGCUCCACCGCUUGUGCGGGCCCCCGUCAAUUCCUUUGAGUUUCAGCCUUGCGGCCGUACUCCCCAGGCGGGGUACUUACUGCGUUAGCGACGGCACCGAAGGGGUCGCUCCCCCCGACGCCUAGUACCCAUCGUUUACAGCGUGGACUAC